rnacentral:rRNA from 1 species
UACGUAGGUGGCAAGCGUUGUCCGGAUUUACUGGGCGUAAAGAGCGCGCAGGCGGUCGUUCAAGUCGCGUGUGAAAGCCCCCGGCUCAACUGGGGAGGGUCACGCGAUACUGAUCGACUGGAAGGCAGGAGAGGGUAGUGGAAUUCCCGGUGUAGUGGUGAAAUGCGUAGAUAUCGGGAGGAACACCAGUGGCGAAGGCGGCAUCCUGGACCGGCACUGACGCUGAGGAGCGAAAGCCAGGGGAGCAAAGCGGG